UUCUAGUUACUGAGUAGGAGUGGUAACCAGAUUAAAUCGGGUAUGUUUUUUAUCCAGCCGUGUCAAUGCUGCCCCCUAGCCCUAACAGGUUAAAUACAGCACUAACCUUUGAUGAUCUUCAUCAGAUGACACUCCUAGGACAUUAUGUUAUACAAUACAUGCAUGUUUUGUUCAAUCAAGUUCAUAUUUAUAUCAAAAAACAGCUAGCAAGCGUCCCACCUAGCCCAUAGAGGUUAACAGAGUCUGAGGACAUGAAUGACAGCCUUGUGGAUUCAGCUGCCAUGGACACUGCAGUGGAUGAUGAUGCUGAGUAGAGAACAAGAGUGUGGGUGUCAGAGUUGCCUUCUGAAGGAACAGGUGACACAAGCCUGGAGGGUGAUGUGCGAUCCUUGGAUGCUCAGGAUAUUCCACCUUUGGAUUCUGUGGAAGACACACUGCAGCUGGAAGGUCUGCCUCGAUCAGAGAGUCUUCAAGAAUCUGACCGAGACCGUAACAGUGUAGUGAGUGAGCUAAUUGACCAGUCUGCUUACGAUAUCCGUACUGACCUACCAAACUCGGACCAUUCCUUACCUGAUCAGUUACGCACUGCCUGUGUUGACAGACCCACUAUCGCAACAGUACACAACACUGUUACCCCUUAUGCAGUUGAAGGUACUCGGGGUUGUAUUAGGUCAAGGGCAGGAAGACUAUUUAGACCAGUGUCUAGACUGAUUGAGAUUAUGAAUCAGCAGAAAGUUAGCUCUUGAAGGUUAAUAUUUGAAUAGAGAGGGUCAAUGGUAUUGACAUCUUUUAUUUGUUUUGUUUUUACAUCAUCGUGACCAUGAUUAGAGAUGGCAGGAUGGUAAUGUGACGGAUAUGAUAAAGCCUCACAUGGUAGUUUAUUUUAUUACUUGGAUGUUUUAAAGUCGCUGAGUGUACUUAACAUGUAACAGUCAUCUUUACCUAUGAGAGCUAAGGGGAUUGAUCAACCACUUUUCACUCUAAUUCUCAAGGAGAAUAGUGUAAUGACUGGAGUAUUUAGUGACUGUUUUAAAGCAGGGUCUGCAUCCUCGAUAUACACAGCUUUACCAUUUAGUUUUCUCUAUUGGGUAGUAUAAAAACAUAUCUAUUUUUUUUUUUCUUCUCUGUGGAUUAUUCUGUACAUAUGUUGAGUGUAUCUGUACCUGGUGUGUUUGCACAGUGUGGUUUUGUAUUUGUAUUAUUUUUCUUUGCAAGUGGAAUUCAGUAGGGGGGAGUGUAACAGGGUUAUAUUGGUGAUUCCCCUUGCCACUUUAUUGUUAAGCCAAUGGGUUUUUGGUUUUAUUUUGUCUUGCCUUCACCUACUCAACAUGGCAUCUUAUUGGCUGGUUUGCGUAGCUUGCUUACGAGGGAGGAUGUUUCAGUUAGAAUCGUCCCAGUGAACAAGCACCAAACCAGCGGUCUAUCAGAUGGACAAUGUAUCUCGGAUCACGGCUCAUGUCUCCAAAUAGGGCUGAAUCAGCCAACCCACGAUGUGUCUAUGGGAGCUGUAAUAUUCAGUCCGGCAUGAAUCAUCAACCAGGUCUAUGACAUCCGACCGGAGCCGACUCACCGAC
rnacentral:lncRNA from 1 species